rnacentral:rRNA from 1 species
AAUCAACGCUGGCGGCGUGCCUCAGACAUGCAAGUCGAACGCGAAAGUUCCCUUCGGGGAGCGAGUAGAGUGGCGCACGGGUGAGUAACACGUGGAUAAUUUACCUUCGGGUGGGGAAGUAACAACCGGAAACGGUUGCUAAUACCGCAUAAUGCAGCGGCAUCUAUGAUGACAGUUGUUAAAGCGGGGAGUCGCAAGACCUCGCGCCUGAAGAGAAG